UACGUAGGGUGCGAGCGUUAAUCGGAAUUACUGGGCGUAAAGCGUGCGCAGGCGGUUCGUUGUGUCCGUCGUGAAAGCCCCGGGCUUAACCUGGGAACUGCGAUGGAAACUAGCGAGCUGGAGUGUGGCAGAGGGGGUGGGAAUUCCGCGUGUAGCAGUGAAAUGCGUAGAGAUGCGGAGGAACACCGAUGGCGAAGGCAGCCCCCUGGGCUAACACUGACGCUCAGGCACGAAAGCGUGGGGAGCAAACAGG
rnacentral:rRNA from 1 species